GUUUAGCGGCGGACGGGUGAGUAACACGUGGGCAACCUGCCCUGCAGAUCGGGAUAACUCCGGGAAACCGGUGCUAAUACCGAAUAGUUUAUCGUUCCUCCUGGAACGGUACGGAAAGACGGUUUCGGCUGUCACUGCAGGAUGGGCCCGCGGCGCAUUAGCUAGUUGGUGGGGUAAUGGCCCACCAAGGCGACGAUGCGUAGCCGACCUGAGAGGGUGAUCGGCCACACUGGGACUGAGACACGGCCCAGACUCCUACGGGAGGCAGCAGUAGGGAAUCUUCCGCAAUGGACGCAAGUCUGACGGAGCAACGCCGCGUGAGUGACGAAGGUUUUCGGAUCGUAAAACUCUGUUGUGAGGGAAGAACAAGUACCAAUUAACUACUGGUACCGUGACGGUACCUCACCAGAAAGCCACGGCUAACUACGUGCCAGCAGCCGCGGUAAUACGUAGGUGGCAAGCGUUGUCCGGAAUUAUUGGGCGUAAAGCGCGCGCAGGCGGUCCUUUAAGUCUGAUGUGAAAGCCCACGGCUCAACCGUGGAGGGUCAUUGGAAACUGGAGGACUUGAGUGCAGAAGAGGAAAGUGGAAUUCCCCGUGUAGCGGUGAAAUGCGUAGAGAUGUGGAGGAACACCNGUGGCGAAGGCGACUUUCUGGUCUGUAACUGACGCUGAGGCGCGAAAGCGUGGGGAGCAAACAGGAUUAGAUA
rnacentral:rRNA from 1 species